UAAAAGAUCUAUCGAAUUAACAGUUUUGUACAUGUAUAUUUUAUUUCUGUCAGAAAUUUUAUUGAUUUCUUUUAACAGUCUUGCUUGUUAUAUCAAAUAUGUAGGUACAUAUACAUAUAGUUAUUGGUUUUCAAUAUGAUAUAAUUAAAUUGAAUAUAAGUUUUCAGGGCAUUAUUGGGGCAUUCCACGAUUUUGUAACCAGUGAGCACGUAAGAUAAGUCUCACGCCAGUGACUGAGUGCAUGUGUUGGUAUCAAGUCUAGUGUUUUAAUAUUCCAAUAUGAGAAAUGGAUACCCACCAGAACCUUUAUCUGAUCGAAGACCUAAAUAUGAUGAAGACAGUUCAAAAGAGGACGAAGACGCACAAAUGGAAAAAGACGAA
rnacentral:lncRNA from 1 species